rnacentral:rRNA from 1 species
UACCGGCAGCACGAGUGAUGACCGCUAUUAUUAGGCCUAAAGCGUCCGUAGCUGGCCGCGCAAGUCUAUCGGGAAAUCUGCGUGCUUAACGCGCAGGCGUCCGGUGGAAACUGUGUGGCUCGGGACCGGAAGAUCCAGAGGGUACGCCUGGGGUAGGAGUGAAAUCCCGUAAUCCUGGACGGACCGCCGGUGGCGAAAGCGCUCUGGAAGGACGGAUCCGACGGUGAGGGACGAAAGCUCGGGUCACGAACCGGAUUAGAUACCCGGGUAGUCCGAGCUGUAAACGAUGUCUGCUAGGUGUGACACUGGCUACGAGCCAGUGUUGUGCCGUAGGGAAGCCGUGAAGCAGACCGCCUGGGAAGUACGUCCGCAAGGAUGAAACUUAAAGGAAUUGGCGGGGGAGCACGGGGCGGGGGCGGCGGGCCGGGCGCGGGGCGCGGCGGGCG